ACAUAACAAAAUGUUUGUCAUCC
rnacentral:snRNA from 1 species